rnacentral:misc_RNA from 1 species
CAUUCCACACUACAAAAGGGCCUUCGGUUUCUUCGAGAAUCUGCUCUCUUCUUCACUCCAUAACCCGAUCUAGGGUUUUUUCUCAUUGCCGAUCUCCUCGCAUUCCCAACAUUCUCAUCACUUUCCCGGUCAGAUAUAUAGUCGGAAAUGGCGUAUUCAGCACAAACUCUUGAUAUUUCCGGCGACCGCCAGUCUGGUCAGGAUGUUCGCACUCAAAAUGUGACUGCAUGUCAAGCAGUAGCGAACAUCGUCAAAUCUUCGCUUGGACCUGUUGGCCUUGAUAAGAUGCUCGUUGAUGAUAUUGGGGAUGUAACAAUUACUAAUGAUGGUGCUACAAUUCUGAGGAUGUUAGAAGUUGAGCAUCCAGCUGCCAAGGUUCUUGUUGAGUU